rnacentral:lncRNA from 1 species
AUCAGCUACAGUCUGGAACUUGCUUCUUUUGGGGAAUUCAUUAAAAGAAUCCUUGAAUGCAGGUUUCUGAUAACUUUGGAGAUUUUGCCAUUGGGCUAGAGAGAAAACUUCCAGGAUAUUAAUUGAAAAGCUGAUGUGUUCUUAAAGAUUACUAACCCAAUAUGAAGCAGAGUGGGAGUUGAUUGCAUGGACUGAGCUAAUGGAGGACAGAAAUAAUUUUUAUGGUUUUUUUUUUUUUUUUUUUUUGGUUCUUUGAAACAUUGCUGAUUCUUUUUGUUUUGUUUUUCAGAGUCUGGAGAACACUUUUUCUUUUGAGCUGUUUACAACCUUUAGCAAUUGAGUAGAGUGUACUCUUGUCAAUAGAAUUUGAAGCACAUUUCUCUCUCUGCCUGAUUUCUGUAGAAUUUGUAAACUAUUUGUGAAUAUUCUUAAUUUAUGGCAAUAUGGUUGCUUACAUAAGUUCAAUAAUAAUCUGUUUUCUUUUACAAUGAGACACAGUUGGAGGAACUGGUUAUUUUCCCAGGGCUUUGACUGAAAUGGCCUUGUGAAUGGUUCCAGGAAAGCCAAUUUUGGAGACCCUAUGUGGAUGAUGAUGCUUGCUGUACUUUCUGUGGGUAAUCGGGCCAAGUAUAUGGGACUGAAGCUAAUUUUGCAGGUGAGAAAAUGGAGGUCCAGAGAGAAAAGUGACUCACCCAAGCUGAAAACAGUUGCAGGAAGAAAAGCCAGGACAGAACUGGGCUGUUAGAAACCUUGGAGUACACUAAAGAUGAGGAACUGAGUCACCGCAAUGCCAAAUGUAACACGCUGUGGGUCAAAAUUUGGAUGGUUGCGUUGGAAAUUAUUCUGAAGCCACAGACAGGGCUAAAAGAGUCUAGAAUGUCCUACUAGCUGUUGGAACCUGCUGGAGUUCUAAAGGCAUGCGAUGUCCUGAAUGUGCUUGACCAAUGGACACAGCAGGUAUUUGAAGAGUUUUGAUGCUUCCUUUCUGUUUUCAGUGCUAUUUUUUUGCUUUAUUUCUUUUAAAAAACUUUCCCCACAGAGGCUAUUUAUUACACAGCAGCAGCCAGCAUGCACCAAGCAGAACUGCUUUUCAUAAUAAACCUAUUUAUCUUCUGGCAUGUCAGAAAUUUCUCAAAUUGAUACUUAUAAUAAAUAUGAUUAAUAACACAUUG